UACGGAGGAUCCAAGCGUUAUCCGGAUUUAUUGGGUUUAAAGGGUGCGUAGGCGGAUUGAUAGGUUAGAGGUGAAAUGUCCGAGCUCAACUCGGGAACUGCCUCUAAUACUGUUGAUCUAGAGAGUAGAUGCGGUAGGCGGAAUGUAUGGUGUAGCGGUGAAAUGCUUAGAGAUCAUACAGAACACCGAUUGCGAAGGCAGCUUACCAAUCUAUAUCUGACGUUGAGGCACGAAAGCGUGGGGAGCAAACAGG
rnacentral:rRNA from 1 species